rnacentral:rRNA from 1 species
UACGGAGGGGGCUAGCGUUGUUCGGAAUCACUGGGCGUAAAGCGCACGUAGGCGGACUCUUAAGUCGGUGGUGAAAUCCUGGAGCUCAACUCCAGAACUGCCUUCGAUACUGAGAGUCUCGAGUCCGAGAGAGGUGAGUGGAACUGCGAGUGUAGAGGUGAAAUUCGUAGAUAUUCGCAAGAACACCAGUGGCGAAGGCGGCUCACUGGCUCGGUACUGACGCUGAGGUGCGAAAGCGUGGGGAGCAAACAGG